CACGCGCAUGUGUUGUACAAGCUCGUCAGAAGGAGGAGUGGUAAAAUUCGACUCCUUUUCUCCUUUGCACCUGUCUACCAAACCGACACGAUAAGAGAGCGGCCAAUUUAAUUUGCUUAUUCUCUCUGUGGACGGCUGUGAGCAAAAGUGCCUUCCAUGUUUCGGCAUGAUUUCCCUCCCCGUCGUCAGAAUCAGUAGCUCCCGAAAGCCAAAACCGCCAAGAGACGCGCUGAAAUCUUCACCGAGGACCAGCCGAUCAUCAUCACCAUCAGGUGUGCAACAAGGAGGCCCUGCCCAGCAGCAGUCAGCCAAGUACUUAAACCACAAAAGCAAUAUCAGAAAACAAAGACAUGACAACAAUGACCCUAAGGACACAGCUAAAAUAAUGGAGUGGCUUGGAUGGCCCAGCAAGACCCCUGACUUAAACCCAAGUGCGGAUCUCUGGAAAGAGCUGAAAAUGUCUGUCUGCCAACUUUUACCAUCCAACCUGAGAGAACUGUAAAAGAUCUGCAAGGUGGAAUGGCAGAGGAUCCCCAAAUCCAGGUACAGAGGGUGUAUGUUUGAUGACGUCCCAUGGCACUCAACGGGAGGAAGGCUGUCGCAGCAUUCGGCCCAAGGGAGGAGAAUAAGACAUACCAUCUUAUUUGCGGAGCAUUAUGAAAGUCUCUGAUUAAUCCUUCGAGGCUUGUGACACAGCGGUUGCUGUUUUGCAGAGAUUGAGGGGUUGCCACAGCGUGUCAUGUUUUUCCAUCCAAGCCUACCUCGUGCAUCUUCUUCUCUAACACCCAUUGUCCUCAUCUCCUCCCUCACAACAUCCAUCAGCCUUUUCUUUGGUCUUCCUCUCGCUAUUUUGCCUGGCAGCUCCCAUACUCAGCACCCUUUUACCAAUAUACUCACUUUCGUUUCUGAACAUGUCCAAACCAUCCAAGUCUGCUCUCUCUAAAAUUGUCUCUAAAACAUUCAACUUUGGCUGUCCCUCUAAUGUGCUCAUUUCUAAUCUUAUCCAGCCUGUUCACUCCAAGCGAGAACCUCAGCAUCUUCAUUUCUGCUACCUCCAGUUCUGCUUCCUGUUGUUUCUUCAAUGCCACCAUCUCUAAUCCAUACAACAUGGCCCUGACAGAAGUUGUAUAGUGGCCAGAAUUAAUUUGAAAUUGCUAUAUUCAGCAUCUCUCAAUAACAUACAACAUAACUGUAUAAUGAACACAGAGCCAUGUGCAUAGACAUUCUUGAUGGCAGAUGCUCAAGCCAAAAAGGUCACCCAUUCUCAAAAUUGUUCAUAUUAUCAAGAAAAAACAGUGGUAUAUAUUUAGUUUACAUAUCAAUGUCUGUUAACACACACAACACAGUCAAUAAUACAGCUGGUGAAGGGAAGCUAUAUGCAAAGGCAGUUUUUUUCAUCAAGAACAAACAGGAAAUGCAUGAGCACCACUUUGGGUCUACACUGUGUGCACGUGCCUGCCAGCAAAUACAAUUAAUGUAUCCUCCAGUUUUUACAUAUUUUGACUUUAUCAACCCUUGGGAGUGAGAACAAUGAGGACAAAGGGGCAUACUGUAGCUGGCCAACUUCUCACAAAAAAAUCUAGUCAAAGAAAACGUUGUUAUUACUACUGGGGAGAGUUUCUCCUUGAAGCUGUUUUAAUUUGCAAAGAAGCGAUUGGUAUGCUCUGAUUGCAGGAAUAAAAAAAUGUCGGCAAAGGCUUUUACAGAACUAAGUGAGUCUGUGCGUUUGCUCUCUUGAAUCCAUUCGCUGCUAUUUAAACAUUCAACCCUGCCCUCAGAUCUUAGGAGACAUGAAAAUGUUUCAAAACAUCUUGUUUUAAAACAACAAACAAAGCAUUAAAUACAAUACGUGUUAUAAAUAAGGGUUCUCCUAUUUUGAUAUUCACUGGAUCCACAGCCACAUGUUAAUUUAUAAUUAUAAUUAUAAUUCGCAGUGGUAUUUGAGCUGCACUGCAGCACACUGAUAGCUGUUUCUAAAAUCAUAAUAUUAGAAACAUGUUUCUGUAGAGAAAUAGUUCAACACACUACCGAACAUCCCCAAUCAAAACUAUUAACUUAAAAAAAGAUCUUACUUUAAUAGAGAGAUUAAAAAUUACUUGUAAUUUGUUUAUGCUAUCGCCAAAUGUUUUGUCUGGAAAGGGCACCUCAGCAAGAUGAAUGCAAUCCUUUUGCUGUGUAAAAACAUGUUUUUUCACUUUCUAUCCAAACAAUCAAUCUCAGAGAUGCUGCAUCCUCUGUGAGCUUUACCCCCUGAAAAAAAAAAACAUGAAUAUUUCAUUUCAGUUGUGCGGUCCACUCUUCCUGCCAACAUUGGCCUGCCUGUCCUUUGAUCGUUGGUCCUCCAAGACCUCCAAACACUGAUAAGCUGAUUCUGUGGAAAUAGAGAGACAACUAGAAUGAAGAACCAGCUCUACCUAUACGAGUGUACACGGUGUUUGCGUCGUCUUUUUAUCGGCGCUAAGUGGUCAGAAAAUAAUGCUCUGUAUAUGCAAAUAAUAAUUAGUGGUCUUGGAACCGGAUGCUUUAAUUAGACUGCACAUCCUCAAAGUGUUCACUCAACAAAGGAAGCACAAUUUUCAGGGUUUUCUUUUAUGACAUCAUAUAACCGUCUCCACUGAUAGCCUUAGUGGUGAAUAUCUGCAAUUUUAUAUUAGUUUUGGGUGUUCCAAUCAUGACAUGCACAGGUGAGACCCCCACUCCACCACAUCACUCAUCUGAAUUAAUUUACACUUUUGUGCACUUUACGCCUAUAAAAUGAAGAUGCAAACUCCGUGUACACAUGCACAGGCCGGCAACUACUGCUGACCUGGAGGAGAAGUUUCUGUUACUAAAUCCUGACAAAGACGUUCUUUUUAUCUUCACAAACACAACGCACAUCAUUUAAAAGACAGCUGUAAUAGGUUUCAGGAGUUAGCGUGAAUAGUUUUGCACAAUUUCAGUCAGUUAACACUUUGGUGCAUCUGCUAAAAAAAGAGAACGAACAAUGUCAGAUUGUAAUUGUAACCAAGGACACAUUAAUGAUAAAAGAAACAUUGAACUGUUGAAUCUGUUUUUGAAUUAAUAAAAAAAAGGUCAAUUUA